rnacentral:rRNA from 1 species
UUUUACGGCCACGGUACCCUAACCGUGCGAAGGUAGCAUAAUCACUUGGUUCUUUAAAUGGGGACUUGUAUCAACGGCAUCACGAGGGUUCUACUGUCUCCUUUAUCUAAUCAGUGAAACUAAUCUCCCCGUGAAGAAGCGAGGAUAACACUAUAAGACGAGAAGACCCCAUGGAGCUUUAAACCCAAAUAUAUCCCCAAUCCCUACAACCAUUUAAUCCUUUGGGUCCKAUAUACUUGGUUUUAGGUUGGGGCGACCACGGAGUAAAACUAAACCUCCAUGAUGUACGGAACAACCUCCUUAUCUAAGAGCCACAGCUCUAAGAAUUAGCACACUAUCAUAAAAUGACCCAUUAUUGAUCAACGAACCAAGUUACCCUGGGGAUAACAGCGCAAUCCAUUUUA